UAUAAAGAGACACAUCUAAAGACAUGAUGAACUGGAAUAUGCCUUAUUGUCAUUAAAGAAUUGUUAAAAAAAAAAAUGAUAUUAAAAGAAAGAAGAAAUUGGAGACUGGAUGCAAAAUAAUCUAAGACUGAAGACUAGGAUAAUCUUCCAGGUAUGUUACACUGUAGUCUAGGUUAUUUAUAUAAUUAACUAAUAAGAAUGUGCUCGAUUGUUUGUACUUUCGCAAACAAAAUAUCCUUCCAUAUAUCAAAGCCUAUUAUCGGAUGAAUUAAAAUAAAGCAGCAAAAUAAGUGUUUGAUGCAUAUUCCCACAUUUUGUUUUGCUUUUCUGAUAUCAACAAACUUAAAUCUUAUAUCAUUUACUAAGAAUCAAUAGAGAAAAUGAUUCAAAUAAUAAUGAAACAAAAAAUAUCCGUUGAAUAUUUUUUCUCUCAAUUUUCUUGUAAUUACGAAGAAAAAAAUUCAAGGAUAACUUCUUCAUGUACAUUGAGUAUUUUACACUGUACAUAUUACAAAAAAGUUCAUGAAAUUGAUGAUAUUACGCGUUUCUGUUAAAAAAAAUGAAGAUAAAACGCGCUCAAUCUAUAACAGUUAUCUUAUUCUAAUUGUAUCUACAACACCAAAAGUAUAUCCCUUAGGACUGUGUCUAGAUUAAUAACAAUCCUUAUAUUUGAAAAAAAUAUAAUCCGAAUGCUUAAAUUGAUAACAGUUACAAUAUUUAAAUUAAUAAUCAGCCAAAUAUUUAAAUUAGAGCAAAUAUGCAAUUUCGACCAUUUCAGUUUCUUGAACUAUUUGUUCCUCACACAAUAUUAUUGAUGAAAAUAGCAAGUACGCUAAAAAAUAUUGUUGAGUAUCUAUUUUUUUUCUUUAUUUUUAAACCCCCAAGGGUGACUGAGGGAAUAUAAUUAUUGUCAGUUAGAUCUUCAUCUGACCGGCAGUAAAACCCUUGUCAAAGUAGGGCGUCCGUUUGGCUGAGCGGGAUAUACAAGUACGCUGCCAAGUCCGGUCAGAAUUGGAAUUUUAAAUCCGAUGCCUCCUGUAAUGAGAGAGCCACGCUUUCUGCAUGUUAAGAACUCUUGCAACAACUAUUUGAGGGGGCUGUAUCUGGCCUGUUGCAAGGCAAACUUUUUCCUAUCCAAUAUAACCUCAUUUUCCAGUGGCAGUUUUAAAUUCCCCGACCAUGAUCCCGGACGGGCUCUAUUACAGGACCUACCUUUUGUAUUUAUUACUAAUUUGUUCUCGUCCUGAACAUGCUUAAAAUAUUUCUCUCUUAAUAUAGCAAACAAUUAGAAAAUCAGGCUAGGGAGUUUUGUGUAAAAUUGAUAUAAAAAGUUGCUACGCAAAAACUUGCAUAUCGACUUCAAUUUAUUUUUCUAAUAGAUCUACACCUGAUAAGAGCAUGUCAAUUAACCGCAUAUGUUUACAGCUAUAUUAGUGAAAUUCAGAAAGAAAAAAUUCAUUGACAUGCAGCAAAGAGUAACAAUAUUGAAAUUAAGUAACAUGGGGAUUUAAACGGAUGCACAUAUUUGAUGCAAAUACAACGAGAUGACCGCACACACAUGUACAGAAUUUCGAGAGACCUAUUUUAUUUUUUUUAAAUAUUUUUCCUUGAUUUUUUAACCAGAACAGACACAACUUUUAAAUCUUUAUAUUUAGGCAGAUGAUAUUUUAUAUUGCAUGUUCACUUAACAUUGAGCAGAUCAGUGUACUCGAAAACUUUAAUGUAGAAAAAAGGGUAAAUUUGGGGAAUUAUUGCAUGCUUAG